AAGGUAGCAUAAUCAUUAGUUUCUUAAUUGGAAGCUGGAAUGAAAGGUUGGAUGAGAAAAUAACUGUCUCUAUUUAAAUUUAUUAGAAUUUUAUUUUUAAGUAAAAAAGCUUAAAUAAUAAUUGAAGACGAGAAGACCCUAUAGAGUUUUAUAAAUAAAGUUAUUUAAAAUUUUAGUAUUAUAAAAGUUAAUAGCUUAUUUUAUUUAAUUGGGGUGAUUGAAAAAUUGAGUUAACUUUUUCUUUAUAAAAACAUUGAUUUAUGAAUAAUUGAUCCUUUUUUUAAGAUUAUAAGAUAAAAUUAC
rnacentral:rRNA from 1 species